rnacentral:rRNA from 1 species
AGUGAACGCUGGCGGUAGGCCUAACACAUGCAAGUCGAACGGCAGCACAGUAAGAGCUUGCUCUUACGGGUGGCGAGUGGCGGACGGGUGAGGAAUACAUCGGAAUCUACUUUUUCGUGGGGGAUAACGUAGGGAAACUUACGCUAAUACCGCAUACGACCUACGGGUGAAAGCAGGGGAUCUUCGGACCUUGCGCGAUUGAAUGAGCCGAUGUCGGAUUAGCUAGUUGGCGGGGUAAAGGCCCACCAAGGCGACGAUCCGUAGCUGGUCUGAGGGGAUGAUCAGCCACACUGGAACUGGGACACGGUCCAGACUCCUACGGGAGGCAGCAGUGGGGAAUAUUGGACAAUGGGCGCAAGCCUGAUCCAGCCAUACCGCGUGGGUGAAGAAGGCCUUCGGGUUGUAAAGCCCUUUUGGUGGGGAAGAAAAGCAGCAGGUUAAUACCCCGCUGUUCUGACGGUACCCAAAGAAUAAGCACCGGCUAACUUCGUG